GAGAGUUUGAUCCUGGCUCAGGACGAACGCUGGCGGCGUGCCUAAUACAUGCAAGUCGUACGCUUCUUUUUCCACCGGAGCUUGCUCCACCGGAAAAAGAAGAGUGGCGAACGGGUGAGUAACACGUGGGUAACCUGCCCAUCAGAAGGGGAUAACACUUGGAAACAGGUGCUAAUACCGUAUAACAAUCGAAACCGCAUGGUUUUGAUUUGAAAGGCGCUUUCGGGUGUCGCUGAUGGAUGGACCCGCGGUGCAUUAGCUAGUUGGUGAGGUAACGGCUCACCAAGGCCACGAUGCAUAGCCGACCUGAGAGGGUGAUCGGCCACAUUGGGACUGAGACACGGCCCAAACUCCUACGGGAGGCAGCAGUAGGGAAUCUUCGGCAAUGGACGAAAGUCUGACCGAGCAACGCCGCGUGAGUGAAGAAGGUUUUCGGAUCGUAAAACUCUGUUGUUAGAGAAGAACAAGGA
rnacentral:rRNA from 1 species